rnacentral:lncRNA from 1 species
ACUGUAUGUGUGUACUAGAUAAUUAAUUUUAUAUCCGUUAAUUUCUUUGUUAGUUUUUUAUCUUGAUGUUGCAUUGUCUAUUCUUCAUUUCUUUAGUUUCGUAUCCGUAUAAUUUUAUUUCCUUUCUACAAUAUUGUGCCAUAAGAGUUAAUUUUCUUAAUCUCGUUUUUACAUUUGAUCUGUACUCCUUUUGCUACCCUUCUAUAAGCGUAAGGGUAUAACUUUCAGGUUUCCCUAGGAAAAUAGAAGUUUAUUUGGAAAUACUUGUCAUGUAAGUUUCCUCUGCAUCCCUUAUUCUUCUCCAUUUAGUAUUGUUGUUCAUUCUUCUCUUUUAUGUUUAAGUGCUAUUUGUUGACCGCAUGUAUGUAGUAGAGAAUUAAUUUUCAAUCCUUUCAUUUCUUUGUUUUUUGUAAGAGCUUGAUGUUGUGUUUUCUAUUCCUCAUUUCUUUAGUUUUGUAUCAUAAUAAUUUGAUUUACUUUCAAGGACAUUGUGGUUUUCACAUUUGAUCUAUACACCUUUCUCUACCUUUCUUUAAGCAUAAAGGUAGAAUUUUCAGGUUUCCCGUGGUAAAGAGAAGUUUAUUGCGAAUUAGUUCUUGGAUAAGUUUNNNNNNNNNNNNNNNNNNNNNNNNNNNNNNNNNNNNNNNNNNNNNNNNNNNNNNNNNNNNNNNNNNNNNNNNNNNNNNNNNNNNNNNNNNNNNNNNNNNNAAAUGUUAGAACCACAAUGUCNCUUGAGAGUAAAUAAAAUUAUUCGGAUACGAAACUAAAGAUAUGAGCAAUAGAAAACACAACAUCAAGCCUUAAAAAAAAAAAACAAAGAAAUCAAAGGAUUGAAAAUUAAUUCUCUACUACAUACAUGAGGUCAACAAAUAACACUCAAACAUAAAAGACAAGAAUAAAGAACAAUGCGAAAUGGAAGAGAAUAGGGGAUACGAAGGAAACUUACCUGACAAGGAUUUCCAAAUAAGCUUCUCUUCUCCUCGGGACACUUGAAAAUUCUACCCUUACGCUUAUAGAAAGUAGAGAAAAGAGUAGAGAUCAAAUGUAAAAACGAGAGUAAGAAAAUUAACUCUCAAGAGACAAUAUCGUUGAAAUGAAAUUAAAUUAUGCUGAUACGAAACUAAAAAAAUGAGGAAUAGAUAACGCAACAUCAAGAUAAAAAAAAAAACAAAGAAAUUAACGGAUUCAAAAAUAAUUUUCUAAUACACACAUACAAUAGACGUAUAACACAAAACCAUAAAAGAUAACAAUGAAAAACAAUGCAAAAUGUGAGAGAAUAAGGAAUACGGAGGAAACUUAUCCAAUAACCAAUUCCCAAUAAACUUUUGUUCACCACGGGAAACCUUAAAAUUCUACCUUUACGCUUAAAGCAAGGUAGAGAAAGGAGUAGAUAUCAAAUGUUAAAACCACAAUGUCCUUGAAAGUAAAUCAAAUUAUUCUGAUACGAAACUAAAGAAAUGAGGAAUAGAAAACACAAGAUCAAGCUUUAAAAAAAAAAACAAAGAAAUCAAAGAAUUGAAAAUUAAUUUUCUGCUACACACAUGCGGUCAACAAAUAACACUCAAACAUAAAAGACAAGAAUCAAGAACAAUGCGAAGUGGAAGAGAAUAGUGGAUACGAAGGAAACUUACCUGACAAGGAUAUCCAAAUAAGCUUCUCUUCUCCUCGGGACACUUGAAAAUUCUACCCCUACGCUUAUAGAAAGUAGAGAAAAGAGUAGAGAUCAAAUGUAAAAACGAGAGUAAGAAAAUUAACUCUCAAGAGACAAUAUCGUUGAAAUUAAAUUAAAUUAUGUUGAUACGAAACUAAAAAAAUGAGGAAUAGAUAACGCAACAUCAAGAUAAAAAAAAAAAACAAAGAAAUUAACGGAUUCAAAAAUAAUUUUCUAAUACACACAUACAGUAGACGUAUAACACAAAACUAUAAAAGGUAACAAUGAAAAACAAUGCAAAAUGUGAGAGAAUAGGGAAUACGGAGGAAACUUAUCCAAUAACCAAUUCCCAAUAAACUUUUGUUCACCACGGGAAACCUUAAAAUUCUACCCUUACGCUUAAAGCAAGGUAGAGAAAUGAGUAGAUAUCAAAUGUUAAAACCACAAUGUCCUUGAAAGUAAAUCAAAUUAUUCUGAUACGAAACUAAAGAAAUGAGGAAUAGAAAACACAAGAUCAAGCUUUGAAAAAAAAAACAAAGAAAUCAAAGGAUUGAAAAUUAAUUUUCUGCUACACACAUGCGGUCAACAAAUAACACUCAAACAUAAAAGAGAAGAAUGAAAAAUAAUGCGAAAUGGAGGAAAAUAGGGGAUAAGGAGGAAACUUACCUGACAAGUAUUUCCCCAUAAACAUCUUUUUUCCUCGAGAAACCUAAAAAUUCUACCCUUACGCUUAUAGAAGGUAGCGAAAGGAGUAGAGAUCAAAUGUAAAAAUGAGAAUAAGAAAAUUAACUCUUAAGGCUCAAUAUUGUUAAAAGGAAAUCAAAUUCUGCUGACACGAAACUAAAGAAAUGAGGAAUAGACAACGCAACAUCAAGAUAAAAAACAAACAAAGAAAUUAAUGGAUUCAAAAUUAAUUUUCUAGAACACACGUAUAGUAGACAUAUAACACGAAAACAUAAAAGAUAAAUAAGAAGAACAACGCAAAAUUUGAGAGAAUAGGGAAUAUGGAGAAAACUUAUUGAAGAACUAAUUCCCAAUAAACUUCUCUUGACCAGGGGAAACCUGAAAAUUCUACCCUUACGCUUAAAGCAAGGUAGAGAAAGGAGUAGAGAUCAAAUUUUAAAACCACAAUGUACUUGAAAGUAAAUAAAAUUAUUUUGAUAAGAAACUAAAGAAAUGAGAAAUAGAAAACACAACAUAGAGCAAUAAAAAAAAACAAUGAAAUCAAAGGAUUGAAAAUUCAUUAUCCACUAGAUACACGCAGUGAACAAAUAACACUCAAACAUAAAAAAAAAAAGAAUGAAGAACAAUGCGAAAUGGUGGAGAAUAGGGGAUACAGAGAAAACUUACCUGACAAAUAUUUCCAAACAAACCACUCUUUUCCUCGGGAAACCUAAAAAAUUCUACACUUAUGCUUAUAGAAUGUAGCGAAAUGAGUAGAUAUCAAAAGUAAAAACGAGAAUAAGAAAAUUAAUUCUUAAGGCGCAAUAUCGUUGAAAGGAAAUCAAAUUAUGCAAAUACAAAACUAAAGAAAUGAGGAAUAGACAACGCAAGAUCAAGAUAAAAAACAACCAAAGAAAUUAACGGAUUCAAAAUUAAUUUUCUAGUACACAGAUACAGUAGACAUAUAACAUGAAAACAUACAAGAUAAAUAUGAAGAACAUUGCAAAAUUUGAGAGAAUAGGGAAUACGGAGGAAACUUAUCCAAGAACUAAUUCUCAAUAAACUUUCCUUCACAACGGGAAACCUGAAAAUUCUACCCUUUCGCUUAAAGCAAGGUACAGAAAGGAUUAGAGAUCAAAUGUUAAAACCACAAUGUCCUUGAAAGUAAAUAAAAUUAUUUUGAUAAGAAACUAAAGAAAUGAGCAAUAGAAAACACAACAUAGAGCUCUAAAAAAAACAAUGAAAUCAAAGGAUUGAAAAUUCAUUCUCUACUACAUACACGUAGUCAACAAAUAACACUCAAACAAAAUAGAGACGAAUGAAGAACAAUGCGAAAUGGAGGAGAAUAGGUGAUACAAACAAACUACUCUUUUCCUCGGGAAACCUGAAAAUUCUACUUUCACGCUUACCUGACAAGUAUGUGUGUACUAGAAAAUUAAUUUUGAAUCCGUUAAUUUCUUUGUUUGUUUUUUAUCUUGACCUUGCAUUGUUUAUUCCUCAUUUCUUUAGUUUUGUAUCUACAUAAUUUGAUUUGCUUUCAACGAUAUUGUGCCUUAAGAGUUCAUUUUCUUAUUCUCGUUUUUACUUUUGAUCUGUACUCCUUUCGCUACAUUCGAUAAGCGUAAGGGUAAAAUUUUCAGGUUUCUCGAGGAAAAGAGAAGUUUGUUUGGAAAUACUUGUCAGGUAAGUUUUCUCUGUAUCCCCUAUUCUCCUCCAUUUCGCAUUGUUCUUCAUUCUUCUCUUUUAUGUUUAAGUGUUAUUUGUUGAAUUCGUGUAUGUAGUAG